rnacentral:rRNA from 1 species
GACGACGCUGGCGGCGUGCCUAACACAUGCAAGUCGAACGGACAUUAAUUUUCGGAAUUGAUGUUAGUGGCGGACGGGUGAGUAACGCGUGAGCAACCUGCCUUUCAGAGGGGGAUAACGUAUGGAAACGUACGCUAAUACCGCAUGACAUAUAUUUGCCGCAUGGCAGAUAUAUCAAAGGAGCAAUCCGCUGAGAGAUGGGCUCGCGUCCGAUUAGAUAGUUGGUGGGGUAACGGCCUACCAAGUCAGCGAUCGGUAGCCGGACUGAGAGGUUGAACGGCCACAUUGGGACUGAGACACGGCCCAGACUCCUACGGGAGGCAGCAGUGGGGGAUAUUGCACAAUGGGCGAAAGCCUGAUGCAGCAACGCCGCGUGAGGGAAGACGGUUUUCGGAUUGUAAACCUCUGUCUUUGGUGACGAAACAAAUGACGGUAGCCAAGGAGGAAGCCACGGCUAACUACGUG